GGCGCUGAGCGGCGGCGCGAGCAGUGUACUGUGAGGGCUGGGAGGGUACACGCUCCGGGCCCCGCCGGCCCUCACAAGCGUUUCUCUUCUCCCCCAGGCCGGUCGUGCUGCCCCGCGGCCCAACCCCGCCCGCUGCCGCUACGCUGAAGAUUUGUAGUUGAAUGUCAGCAGCUGAGUCUGUGCAGUGACGGUGAGUAUGCGCUGAGCACAGUGGUGCGAGUGGAGGUGGUGGCAAAAGGUGAAUGUGUCUGAGGUGUGUAACCCAACCUGAGGUGUAACCCAACCUGGUCUGUGCGGUUUGGAGCAGCGUGGAAGGGGGGCUGCGUUGUGUGCUGUGCUAUCAGACCAUGUGCUCCAUGCUGCUCCUUGCCCGCUCCGUGGCCUCCCAAGCAGUGCUGAUGUAGAGGUGCCCCUCGUUGCCCUGGGGUUGUGUGGCACAACUCGGCGUGGUCUGAGCCUGCUGUGAGUGAGGAGAGCAUACAGGGGACCCCCUGGGCUCGGUGGGUGCCUUGUUAUACCGGCUGGGACACCGUGUGCUCCUCCACCCCGCGAGGAGGCUGAGGAAGGAGCAGUGCUGGGGAGGGGGGCUGCAGUUGGGAUUGUGCUGUGUAAGAUGGGCACAGCGGGUGCUGCGUGUCCACCUGGGGGAGGUCUGAGUUUCUUCUGUGAGUGUUGAGAUGUACCUGUAUCAGUGCCUGGACUAAUAAAUGACUUGAAAACG
rnacentral:lncRNA from 7 species